AGCAGCCGCGGUAAUUCCAGCUCCAAUAGCGUAUAUUAAAGUUGUUGCAGUUAAAAAGCUCGUAGUUGAACUUCAGGCCUGGCUGGACGGUCCGCCCUCUGGGUGAGCACUGUCUGUGGCCGGGUCCUACCUUCUGGCGAAGCGGCAUGGCCUUAACCGGCCGUGGCGGGGAACCAGGACUUUUACUGUGAAAAAUUGAGUGUUCAAAGCAGGCACGCGCUUGAAUACAUUAGCAUGGAAUAAUGGAAUAGGACAAUGGUUCUAUUUGUUGGUUUCUAGGACCGUUGUAAUGAUUAAUAGGGAUAGUUGGGGGCAUUAGUAUUCAAUUGUCAGAGGUGAAAUUCUUGGAUUUAUUGAAGACUAACUACUGCGAAAGCAUUUGCCAAGGAUGUUUUCAUUAA
rnacentral:rRNA from 1 species